rnacentral:pre_miRNA from 1 species
CUGCCCAAGGGAACGAGUGAAGCUGACAGCAUGAUCUAUCUCCGAGUGAUCAAACAAGAAACGCUGCGGCAGCCUCACUUCUUCCCGGCG